AAAUUCUUAACGGCCGCGGCACUAAAACCGUGCAAAGGUAGCACAAUCACUUGUCCCUUAAAUGAGGACCCGUAUGAAAGGCAACAUGAGAGAAGACCUGUCUCCUAAGGCCAGCCAAUGAAACUGAACUACCAGUACAAAAGCUGGUAUUUACAAGCAAGACAAAAAGACCCUAUGGAACUUUAACAAAUAUUUACAAAACAUAAAUUAUAGUUUCAGUUGGGACAAC
rnacentral:rRNA from 1 species